UAUCCCCUGCCUUGUGCGACACGAGCGGCUACGUUGACCCAACACCGAUUUUUUGGGGGCCUUUCUCCGGCGGCGGAUUGCAGACCUCCCGGCAGAGCUUCGCGCUCUGUUGGAGGAAGGGAGCGUGAAACCGCAGGGCGGCAACCCACCUGUCUUUAUGGGCAGGUCAUUCUAGCUGUUCCCGGCUUGGCGGGGGUUUU
rnacentral:other from 1 species